rnacentral:rRNA from 1 species
AACGAACGCUGGCGGCAUGCCUAACACAUGCAAGUCGAACGAGAUCCUUCGGGGUCUAGUGGCGCACGGGUGCGUAACGCGUGGGAAUCUACCCUUGGGUUCGGAAUAACAGUUAGAAAUGACUGCUAAUACCGGAUGAUGACGAAAGUCCAAAGAUUUAUCGCCCAAGGAUGAGCCCGCGUAGGAUUAGGUAGUUGGUGGGGUAAAGGCCUACCAAGCCGACGAUCCUUAGCUGGUCUGAGAGGAUGAUCAGCCACACUGGGACUGAGACACGGCCCAGACUCCUACGGGAGGCAGCAGUGGGGAAUAUUGGACAAUGGGCGAAAGCCUGAUCCAGCAAUGCCGCGUGAGUGAUGAAGGCCUUAGGGUUGUAAAGCUCUUUUAC